rnacentral:lncRNA from 1 species
AUUUAAAAAGUUCCAUUUUUUUUCAUGUUUUUACCCACCUUUUCUACAUCUUUGCCAACCAUAUAUCCUUCAAUUUUUACCUUUUUUUUCCUCUAAAUUUUAUGUCAAAAUUUCUUCUUACUCUCUCUCUACCUCUCGUUUCUUUCUCUCUCUCGUUUUUUUCCUAGUCAGCUUAGAAACAACGCAUUCUUAGCAACCCACAC